UUGCCAGCCCGCUCAGAAACUUAAAGGAAUUGACGGGGGCCCGCACAAGCGGUGGAGCAUGUGGUUUAAUUCGAUGAUACGCGAGGAACCUUACCUGGGCUCAAAUGUAUGUUGACGUAUUCUGAAAGGGAUACUUCUUCGGACAAUAUACAAGGUGCUGCAUGGUUGUCGUCAGCUCGUGCCGUGAGGUGUCGGGUUAAGUCCCAUAACGAGCGCAACCCCUAUCAUUAGUUGCCAUCAGGUCAAGCUGGGGACUCUAAUGAAACUGCCUACGCAAGUAGUGAGGAAGGUGGGGAUGACGUCAAAUCAGCACGGCCCUUACGUCCAGGGCUACGCACGUGCUACAAUGGCCGGUACAGAGUGAAGCGAAACCGCGAGGUGAAGCAAAACGCAGAAAGCCGGUCUCAGUACGGAUUGGAGUCUGAAACUCGACUUCAUGAAGUUGGAAUCGCUAGUAAUCGCGCAUCAGCAUGGCGCGGUGAAUACGUUCCCGGGCCUU
rnacentral:rRNA from 1 species